GAAGCUGACCAGACAGUCGCCGCUUCGUCGUCGUCCUCCUUCGGGGGGAGACGGGCGGAGGGGAGGAAAGUCCGGGCUCCAUAGGGCAAGGUGCCAGGUAACGCCUGGGGGGUGUCACAGCCCACGACCAGUGCAACAGAGAGCAAACCGCCGAUGGCCCGCGCAAGCGGGAUCAGGUAAGGGUGAAAGGGUGCGGUAAGAGCGCACCGCGCGGCUGGUAACAGUCCGCGGCACGGUAAACUCCACCCGGAGCAAGGCCAAAUAGGGGUUCAUAAGGUACGGCCCGUACUGAACCCGGGUAGGCUGCUUGAGCCAGUGAGCGAUUGCUGGCCUAGAUGAAUGACUGACUGUCCACGACGCUAUACCAAAAGAAGGCGGCUUAUCGGUCAGUUUCACCU
rnacentral:RNase_P_RNA from 1 species